GCCUGGUUGGCUCAGUUGGUUGAGUGUCUGACUUUGGCUCAGGUCAUGAUCUUGCAGUUUGGGAGUUCAAGCCCCACAUCAGGCU
rnacentral:tRNA from 1 species